UCCCUGAUGGCUCAGCUGGUAAAGAUUCUGCCUGCAAUGCGGGAGACCUGGGUUUGAUCCCUGGUUUGGGAA
rnacentral:tRNA from 1 species